CAGCGCGGGUCUGCAAAUAUUGAUCGUCAACAUCAUCAGACACCGCGGUCUGACGUGGGCUUUUGUCUUCCCGAGGGGUUGCAUCAGCGCGUGGUCCUCAGAACUCCUCCACAAACGGCUUAUGGCGGAAGGAAGACACGCAGUCGGUGAAGUUCUUUUCUCCGUGGAAACACACCCAGAGUGACGGUGCCCUUCCAUCCCUGCUCAGAGCUGUGUGUGCCGCGCCGAGGCUGCCGCCGUCGCUGGAUGCCAUCAGCACACCAUGGAAACCGGGCGUGCCUUCCCAGGGUCAGGGAGAGCACCACCGUUUACCGGCUCAUGGCUUUGGUCACUGUAGCCGCCUGGAGAACGCAGAGCCGCCUUCCACCCAGCUCGGUCACGUCCAGAGAUAAACGUUGCUGGUUGAACAGGAGCUGAGUUUUCUACCUUCCACUGAUGGAACAGGCAAUACAGACGGCCCUCACUUUUCAACAUCCACGCCCCAGUAAGUUAAAUGGGGGCUAAUUGCAUUGCAAGUUGUUUCUCUAUUCCAGUUCAACCAAAGAAUAAAACUGGCAUUGAUUGAGAGCACCCUCUCCCUCUUGCAUCUCACUGCAGAACACAGACACCAAAGCUGGGGAGAGUGUUGGGGGACACUGUAGCUGAUUCUGAUGUCCCCUCCUCCCACUCUAGGUAACAGCUGAUUCCCUCAGAGUAGUGGUCCAAGUGGACAGCUCCCCGGGACACGAUGCAGCCGGAUGAAUUGUCCAGCACCCCAUCCCCCACCCCCACCCCCAC